rnacentral:rRNA from 1 species
CCUACGGGUGGCAGCAGUGAGGAAUAUUGGUCAAUGGCCGAGAGGCUGAACCAGCCAAGUCGCGUGAGGGAUGACGGCCCUACGGGUUGUAAACCUCUUUUGUCGGGGAGCAAAGUGAGUCACGUGUGGCUCAUUGAGAGUACCCGAAGAAAAAGCAUCGGCUAACUCCGUGCCAGCAGCCGCGGUAAUACCGGGGGUGCGAGCGUUAAUCGGAAUUACUGGGCGUAAAGGGCUCGUAGGCGGGAUGUCAAGUCAAGGGGGAAAUCCCCGCGCUCAACGUGGGAACUGCCGUUGAAACUGGCAAACUGGAGUGUGGGAGAGGAUAGUGGAAUUCCAGGUGUAGGAGUGAAAUGCGUAGAUAUCUGGAGGAACAUCAGUGGCGAAGGCGACUAGCUGGCACAUAACUGACGCUGAGGAGCGAAAGCGUGGGUAGCAAACAGGAUUAGAUACCCGGGUAGUC